GCCUUCUCUCGUCCUCGCCGAUGUAGAGAGAGAAAUCAACAAGAGAGAGAGAGAGAGAGAGGAGAGUGUGGUUUUUGGUGGUUUGAGGAAGAUAAUGCGAUUACCGUGAGGAUUUCGAUUCUCUCACUGCGCGGUCUCUAAUUCGCUUGGUGCAGGUCGGGAACCGCUGCUGCUGUGGUUUUCGUGCGAAAUGGUGGAGCGGUUGCCGGCGGCGAAUUGGAUCCCGCCUUGCAUCAACUGAAUCGGAGGCCGCGGUGACGCUUUGCGUGGUUUUCCGGCGCCUCUCUAGCAGAUCUCUGUUACGAGUUUCUACAAUCAGAAGGGAGAGCUUUGGCAGCAACAGUAAGAGUUGCUGCCAUCUGACUUGAAAGUCACAGGUUUGAGUUGGCGAAUCAGCCUCUUGCAAAUGCAAAAUAAGGCUGUCUUCAAUAGAUCCAUAAUGGGACCUUUUCAUGGCAGAAGCUUUGUAGCUCCAGGUUGCACUAUUAUAAUAAACAGGCUGCAAACUUUAUAAAUGCAUUUGCUUUGUGUCUAGUAAGUUAGCUGAAGUUAUGGAUGGUAAAUUAAUGUACCUUGUGCUAUAUGAUGGUUCACUGAAUGAAGCAUAGUUAUCUAUCCCAAAUAGCAGAGUUGGAGUGCAGACCCCUGCAACACUAUAGGAGGAAAACGGGAUGACUGCUAUUGUGAACUUUUUGAAAUACACAUUAAAUUUAUGCUACAUGAAUAUAAGUGCGGGAAAAUAUAAAAAUUUCAGAAAUUGAAGACAUUUAUAAUUGAUGAUUCAAAUUCAGAGCUUGAAGCUAAAUGCUUGUCUCAAUGACAAUAAAGUUGUCAGGGAUAGAGAGAAGGAGCACCCGGAGACUAGAGAGAGAGUAGGACAGGUUGCAGAGGUCUUUUGUUGGCUGAAUAAUACAUUAAAAAUGCUGGAACAGAGGGAGUUUGACUGGAGAGAAUGAUACGAAGGUUAGAAAGAACUGAACAGAGCAGUGGCAAAGGUGGUUAGCAAAAAUAAAUUGCCACGGAAGGUGGUGUUUGUGAGAAUGCCCGAUUAGGUCACAUGAUUGAUUUAGUGAUAGGAUUUGUGUUUGAAUCCUUCGAUUUAAUGAAAAGGGAUGAAAAAUCACAAGAUUGCCCCCCUAAGCAGCCCUAAAUGAUGCUGUUCAAUACGGUAUAAAAUAAUUGGAUUUAUGUUUUUAUAUGGUUGAUAUCUUAAGGAUACUUUGUAUGUUAGUUAUGUAUAUGAUGACUAAGAUUCUUGGACAUGUAUGAAUUUCCAAAGAUUGACUUGUUUCUUUUUAGGUAUAAGUUUUUUUCCAAUGUCACACUAUGCAAAUAUGUACGUGGUCUACAGCUGGCCUGAUCUUUAGAUGUGGUUGUAGAAACAGUAAGUUACAAAGUAUUAUUUUUUGUAGUAAUUAUAGAAUUUUCUUCCCCCAAUCUUCUUGGUGCAUACAUAUAAAUGGGAUUUGUUUAUACCUACAUGGAAAUGUGAUUCCUUCCCCAUGAACACUUAUCUCUCAAAGUAAGUCAUUAUAUUUCUAGGAUUUCUUCAAUAAAAAGAGAUAAGAAUAUAUGUACAUAUUCGAAAUGUGCAUUCUUUUAAACAGAGAUGCGAUUAUGCAAAUCUGGUGCAGCUUAACGUUUUAAUAUUUUCUUUUCUGCUAAUGGUAAUAGAUGCAAAACAACUUAUUUGGGUACAAUGAGCUGCCCCUCUGCUCAUUUAAAUAUGCGAAAGAACAAAGUGCCUAAGAUGCCACACAUAGGUGUGUAUAAUUGAAGGAAAAAUUGGCCCUCGUGUUGUUUGGACUUUGGCGGGAAGGUUAUUUAUUCAAUAGGGAGAAACCCUGAUUUGCAUGAUUAGAUGAGGCUUGAUAUCUUCUGUUUUUUAUUCGUUUAGGAAUUGGCUAAUUUCAGAUAUUGAUUUGCUCAACUGGUCAAAGAUUGUAUGUGGAGAACACUUGGUUGUAAAAGAAAAUGUGAAUACCAGGAUCAGUGUUGACAGAAUAAUGCUUUUUUAUACUCCAUGUUAAAGUUUGGGUUAGGGUUGAUAUUUGAGAAGGUACUUAUAUACAAACAAAAUUGGAUUGAGAUAUGGCGAUUAAUAAUUUUAUAUACAGAGCGAGAGCAUGGUAUCACUAAUCAAAUGACUUCUUGAUUUUAAUGAUGGACAGAACGAAGUGAAAUAAUAGAGAGAAACAGAAUAAUAUAAAGGAUCCAGUUUGAUACUCUAGUUUUUUUUUUUUUUCUUUUUCAAUCGAGAUAUUCAGCUUAAAAACGUUAAAAUUAAUUUAUUUAACAAAUUAAAUUAAAAUUUUUAUUAAAAUAGAUUUAACAAAGCAUACAUAUGAGAGCGAUUAAAUUAUUUUUAUAAAUUGUUCAUAAUUUUUUUUAAACGAGUCCAAAGUGAAAAAAAAAUAUAUAAAGAAAUGCAGAAUGAAUUGACACUGAAUGAAAAUAUCUUUUCCUUGCCAAACAUUUUAUGAUGGAUCGAAAUAUAGUUCUUAUUUAAUUAUUUAGUAAGUGAAUAAAGCAAAAUGAGGUAUGAUUUUAUCAUUCUUAUUUUACCCUUCUUCAACCAUCUAGAAAAGGAAAAAAAAAAUUGUAUAUUUCAUUGGGAUAACAUUUUUUUCUCAUGCAAUUUUGCAGUAUUUUUUUUUUCAAAGUGUUAGCAGUAUAAUAUGAUGCUCACAUACUAGUUUUAAUCAUAUUCUACUAGCUGUUUAUCUUAUAUUUUGUUUAGGGUUUAGGGUUUAGGGUUUAGAAAGUGUUGAUAGUUUUUUUCUGAGUUAUGAUAUAAGAGGCUCCCGGCCAGUAAUAGUAUCAGAGCUUUCAAAUUAUUUGAUGUUCAUAUCUUCAGGGUUUAUCGGCUGGACAGCUGACAGGCACCUACCGGAGAGACUGUAUUCACAGUCGCCCCUGUCUGUAACAAUGCCACGAACUCCUGUAUUUAUUCAGAGCCUAAAGUCUCUGUUAAAGGAGGGGAUAAGUGUGUUAUUAUAAAUAAAGUGAGUAAGAGUUACCACAAUAUCAUGAAUACACCCACAGAUACCUCUUCUACUGAAAUCUCUCCUAUUCUCCUAAACUCUCCUAUCACAUUGCCAAAAGACUGUAUCAGAACUGCUUUUGAUAAGAUAGAAAACUUGAUAGAAUACACCUAUGUUCCUGAAGAUGCUCAAAUUCAGGAAUCUAUAGCCCCUCUGCUAAGCCCCUACAAUGUUUUCAGAAGAAAAAAAUCCUGGACCAACAAAGUAAACUUGUUGAUCCUCAGAAAACAAUCUCCUAUUAAAGAAUAUGUCCAAUUCACCAGAAUGGACCAAUGUAAGAUACCUGCUACAAAGGAAUAGAGAUACAUCAACCUUGAAAUCCCUAAAACCUUUAUAGACCAUUGAAAGACUGAGGGAUACACUUCUCUACACUUUGGAGCAAUAAGAUUAGUCCUAUCCCUACAUGGUAGGAAAAAUCUUCCAGUCACUGCCAGAAUCACUUUUCUUGAUUCCACUUACAUCCAUUAUGAACAUGCUGUUAUAGCAACACUACUAACCACUCUUCAUGCUGGAAGUGUGGUCCUCACCAUCUUUCCAAAUUAGAAUGUCUCUUUGAGAAACAAAACUCUUCCAACCAGAUUGAAAGUCCAGAUCCAGCUCACUAGAGCUGAACAAAUUGAAGAAGCCAUCACAACAACUCUUCACCAUCAAAUGAUCUACAGGUUACAAAAUCAUGCUCAUGACCUUCCUUUUCUAGGAACGGAAAAUGAUAAUUUGUUUGUCAUAGCAAACAGAAAUGAAGAUGAUGUCCCAUCUAUCAUUCAAGUUCCUAGGCAAAUACCUAGAGAAGAACUUCUCAAGUUAAUUCCGUUGGAAUGGACAACCAACUAUGAGAAGAUCAGGCAAAAUAAUAAACCAAUCCAGUCUUUUGAAGCUACUUUCAGAAGAUCUGUUGAUGGUGGUGUCAGAGCUAUAUUCAAAAAGCCUGAAGAAGAACCAAGCCCAUCUUCCAAUUGUUUCCAGUAACUGAUGGUUAUUCCUGUUGGAAAAGAACAUAGAAUUUCGGUAUACAGCUUCAAACUUGAUGGAUCUUCCAUCUAUUCUGACAAAUUUUAUGGACACUUCAUGUGGGAUGUUGAUCCUUCUAUGUGUGACCCUGACUGUGAUUGCUGGAUGCAUACUGGUGAUACAUCUGAUGAAGAAUCAGAUGAUGAUGAUGAAGAUAAUCUGAGAAAGAAAAAGAAACCGUGCAAACCACCUCCUAGGCCUAGGAGAAGAGACCCUGGAUUUACUCCAUGGGUGAGAAUCAGGAAUGAAAGAAAACCUUUGUCCAUCUAUGAUGAGGCUUUGGAAAUUUUAAGAAGAGAAGGCCUGCUGACCAAACCUCCUUGUGAUCCAGAUUUGAUCACAUAGCCUCUUCCUCCAGGACUGUGCAACUCUUUCAGUGCACCUCUGGAAAAGGUUGCAGCUCCUAUUCCCUGCAUGAUGUUUACAAAGUAUGAUGAAAAUUUCCCUUCAUUAGAAAGAAAAGUAGACCCAAUCACUAAGGUCAAUACUAGGCCUUUAAUGAUACCUUCUGAAAUACAACCAGAUGGAACACUUAAGGCUUCAUC